GCCGAAGUGGCGGAACUGGCAUACGCGCACGACUCAAACUCGUGUACCCGGAAGGGUAUGAGGGUUCAAUUCCCUCCUUCGGCA
rnacentral:tRNA from 1 species